GAUGAACGCUGGCGGCGUGCCUAAUACAUGCAAGUCGAGCGAAUGGAUUAAGAGCUUGCUCUUAUGAAGUUAGCGGCGGACGGGUGAGUAACACGUGGGUAACCUGCCCAUAAGACUGGGAUAACUCCGGGAAACCGGGGCUAAUACCGGAUAACAUUUUGAGCCGCAUGGUUCGAAAUUGAAAGGCGGCUUCGGCUGUCACUUAUGGAUGGACCCGCGUCGCAUUAGCUAGUUGGUGAGGUAACGGCUCACCAAGGCAACGAUGCGUAGCCGCCCUGAGGAGGGGAUCGGCCACACUGGGACUGAUACACGGCCAAGACUCCUACGGGAGGCAGCAGUAGGGAAUCUUCCGCAAUGGACGAAAGUCUGACGGAGCAACGCCGCGUGAGUGAUGAAGGCUUUCGGGUCGUAAAACUCUGUUGUUAGGGAAGAACAAGUGCUAGUUGAAUAAGCUGGCACCUUGACGGUACCUAACCAGAAAGCCACGGCUAACUACGUGCCAGCCGCCGCGGUAA
rnacentral:rRNA from 1 species